GACUCAGCCGGGUGGUCUGUCUCUCAGAGGCAAGUACUGCUUUGCAUUUAUGCAGUGGGUGGGUCUAACCUUCCUGGACAGGUGUGAUGCUCUUAACCGGGUGUUGCGCAUUCCGUCCAGGUCGUUUACUUUGAAAAAAUUAGAGUGUUCAAAGCAGGCAAGCUUUGCCUGAAUAGAUUAGCAUGGAAUAAUAGAAUAGGACCAUGGUUCUAUUUUGUUGGUUUGAUGGGACCAAGGUA
rnacentral:rRNA from 1 species